GAGCGGCGGACGGGUUAGUAACGCGUGGGAACGUACCUUUCGGUAAGGAAUAGCCUCUGGAAACGGAGAGUAAUACCUUAUACGCCCUUUUGGGGAAAGAUUUAUCGCCGAGGGAUCGGCCCGCGUUAGAUUAGAUAGUUGGUGGGGUAAUGGCCUACCAAGUCUACGAUCUAUAGCUGGUUUUAGAGGAUGAUCAGCAACACUGGGACUGAGACACGGCCCAGACUCCUACGGGAGGCAGCAGUGGGGAAUCUUGGACAAUGGGCGCAAGCCUGAUCCAGCCAUGCCGCGUGAGUGAUGAAGGCCUUAGGGUCGUAAAGCUCUUUCGCCUGUGAAGAUAAUGACGGUAGCAGGUAAAGAAACCCCGGCUAACUCCGUGCCAGCAGCCGCGGUAAUACGGAGGGGGUUAGCGUUGUUCGGAAUUACUGGGCGUAAAGCGCGCGUAGGCGGACUAUUAAGUCAGGGGUGAAAUCCCGGGGCUCAACCCCGGAACUGCCUUUGAUACUGGUAGUCUAGAGUUCGAGAGAGGUGAGUGGAAUUCCGAGUGUAGAGGUGAAAUUCGUAGAUAUUCGGAGGAACACCAGUGGCGAAGGCGGCUCAC
rnacentral:rRNA from 1 species